UACGUAGGGGGCUAGCGUUAUCCGGAAUUACUGGGCGUAAAGGGUGCGUAGGUGGUUUCUUAAGUCAGAGGUGAAAGGCUACGGCUCAACCGUAGUAAGCUUUUGGAACUGUAAGACUUGAGUGCAGGAGAGGAGAGUGGAAUUCCUAGUGUAGCGGUGAAAUGCGUAGAUAUUAGGAGGAACACCAGUAGCGAAGGCGGCUCUCUGGACUGUAACUGACGCUGAGGCACGAAAGCGUGGGGAGCAAACAGGAUUAGAUACCCCGGUAGUCCCUGAG
rnacentral:rRNA from 1 species